GCGCCGGUGGUGUAAGGCGAACAUCGCUACCCGGAAAGCAGAAGAUGCGGGUUCGAGUCCGGCCUGGCGCA
rnacentral:tRNA from 1 species